CCCGACUGCUAUUUGGGUGAGAAUAAGCCAUGCGAGUUGAAUGGAAUACCUAAAUUUUCCAUGGCAAACUGCUCAGUAACACAUGAUCAACUUACCCUAUAGAGAAAAAUAACCUCGGGAAACUGAGGAUAAUGUUUCAUAGUUGAAAAGGCUUGGAAAAGUUUUUCAAUCAAAAGGAUAAAAAAAAUGGUUUUUAUCCGCUAUAGGAUAGGAUCGUGGUCGAUUAUGGUUGUUGGUGAGGUAAUGGCUCACCAAGCCGAUAAUCGAUAGGGGCCGUGAGAGCGGGAGCCCCGAGAUGGGUACUGAGACAACGACCCAGGCCUUACGAGGCGCAGCAGGCGCGAAACCUCCGCAAUACACGAAAGUGUGACGGGGUUACCCAAAGUGUUCAAUUUUGAACUGUGGUAGGUGAGUAAUGUUCCCUACUAGAAAGGAGAGGGCAAGGCUGGUGCCAGCCGCCGCGGUAAAACCAGCUCUUCAAGUGUCGGGAUAAUAUUGGGCUUAAAGUGUCCGUAGCCGGUUUAGUAAGUUCCUGGUAAAAUCGGGUAGCUUAACUAUCUAUAUGCUAGGAAUACUACUAUACUAGAGGGCGGGAGAGGUCUGAGGUACUACAGGGGUAGGGGUGAAAUCUUAUAAUCCUUGUUGGACCACCAGUGGCGAAGGCGUCGGACUGGAACGCGCCUGACGGUGAGGGACGAAAGCCAGGGGAGCGAACCGGAUUAGAUACCCGGGUAGUCCUGGCCGUAAACGAUGCAUACUAGGUGAUGGCACGGCCAUGAGCCGUGUCAGUGCCGUAGGGAAACCGUUAAGUGUGCCGCCUGGGAAGUACGGUCGCAAGGCUAAAACUUAAAGGAAUUGGCGGGGGAGCACCACAAGGGGUGAAGCCUGCGGUUCA
rnacentral:rRNA from 1 species